GGAAUUUUCCGCAAUGGGCGAAAGCCUGACGGAGCAAUACCGCGUGAGGGAUGACGGCCUAUGGGUUGUAAACCUCUUUUUUCAGGGAGGAAUAAAUGACGUGUACCUGAAGAAUAAGCAUCGGCUAACUCCGUGCCAGCAGCCGCGGUAAGACGGAGGAUGCAAGUGUUAUCCGGAAUCACUGGGCGUAAAGCGUCUGUAGGUGGUUUAAUAAGUCAACUGUUAAAUCUUGAGGCUCAACCUCGAAAUCGCAGUCGAAGCUAUUAGACUAGAGUAUAGUAGGGGUAAAGGGAAUUUCCAGUGGAGCGGUGAAAUGCGUAGAGAUUGGAAAGAACACCGAUGGCGAAGGCACUUUACUGGGCUAUUACUAACACUCAGAGACGAAAGCUAGGGUAGCAAAUGGGAUUAGAUACCCCAGUAGUC
rnacentral:rRNA from 1 species